AUUAAUUGGUCUUAAAAUUUGCUAUGUAGAGAGAUUUUAACAUAUUAUUAAACAGAACUAAUUUUAAUGAGUUCUCUGCAUAAUCCAACAUAACUUGUUGUAUGCUAAUAUUCAGUUUGCAAGAUUCCAGGUUUUCAUAGGUAUUCAUGGCUGAUGGUGUUGUAUUAUCUUAGUGCUUUGUCUAUAAUUACUACUGCUGUCCAUAAAGCAGGUUUAAGAGUUCUACCUCAGUCCAGAGAGAUUCUGUCUUCAUGGAACUAAGACAGGAGAUUCCUGCUUCUUUCUCAGUUAACUAAGGAUUCAUAAGAUACGUCCUCAGCUGAAGUUGGUGUGCACAAGUGACUUGCAGUGAGGGUAGUUAUGUCAGCUUGGUCCUCUGCCUGUUCCGCUGGCAAGCACUGCAGAUCCAGCUGCUGCUCCUUCCUGUUGGAUUGGUGGUUUAAGCUGCACUUUCCUUUUUGUGUAAGACCUCUUCUGAACAUAGACGAGAUGACCAUGUCUGCACAAAAG